rnacentral:lncRNA from 1 species
CUACCCCUCCUCUCAGGUCCAUGAGAACAGAACUACCCCUCCUCUCAGGUCCAUGAGAACAGAACUACUCCUCCUCUCAGGUCCAUGAGAAGAACAGAACUACCCCUCCUCUCAGGUCCAUGAGAACAGAACUACCCCUCCUCUCAGGUCCAUGAGAAGAACAGAACUACUCCUCCUCUCAGGUCCAUGAGAAGAACAGAACUACCCCUCCUCUCAGGUCCAUGAGAAGAACAGAACUACCCCUCCUCUCAGGUCCAUGAGAACAGAACUACCCCUCCUCUCAGGUCCAUGAGAACAGAACUACCCCUCCUCUCAGGUCCAUGAGAACAGAACUACCCCUCCUCUCAGGUCCAUGAGAACAGAACUACUCCUCCUCUCAGGUCCAUGAGAAGAACAGAACUACCCCUCCUCUCAGGUCCAUGAGAACAGAACUACCCCUCCUCUCAGGUCCAUGAGAACAGAACUACCCCUCCUCUCAGGUCCAUGAGAACAGAACUACCCCUCCUCUCAGGUCCAUGAGUACAGAACUACCCCUCCUCUCAGGUCCAUGAGAAGAACAGAACUACUCCUCCUCUCAGGUCCAUGAGAAGAACAGAACUACCCCUCCUCUCAGGUCCAUGAGAACAGAACUACCCCUCCUCUCAGGUCCAUGAGAAGAACAGAACUACCCCUCCUCUCAGGUCCAUGAGAACAGAACUACCCCUCCUCUCAGGUCCAUGAGAAGAACAGAACUACCCCUCCUCUCAGGUCCAUGAGAACAGAACUACCCCUCCUCUCAGGUCCAUGAGAAGAACAGAACUACCCCUCCUCUCAGGUCCAUGAGAAGAACAGAACUACCCCUCCUCUCAGGUCCAUGAGAACAGAACUACCCCUCCUCUCAGGUCCAUGAGAAUAACUGAACUACCCCUCCUCUCAGGUCCAUGAGAAGAACAGAACUACCCCUCCUCUCAGGUCCAUGAGAAGAACUGAACUACCCCUCCUCUCAGGUCCAUGAGAACAGAACUACCCCUCCUCUCAGGUCCAUGAGAAGAACAGGAGACAGAAAGAGACAGACUGGGAACAUUACAUGUCCAGGCUUUGACUGACAGAGGACUGGAAGGGACCCGUUGGGACUAACUCGUUAUCAUGCUAUUGAAGGACAACAACAGCCUUGACUGCCACCAAUAAAUAUAACAAUAUUUUUUAUUUAUUUACAAUAAACUUUUGAAAUAAUUAUAUACACAUCCGGCAACAUUGGAGUACCAGAUGAGGACCGGGGAAGAGACAGAACCAGAACCAGAACCAGGAGACAAUAACAGAAGGACGUCGCCGCCCCAAACCCACACCGAGACAAAGGCUCUGGACAUUUACACCUGGAUCUUGCAGCUAACUAGCUGCUACCUGAGUGACUAUUGGCAACGUCGGUCACGG